UACGAAGGGUGCAAGCGUUAAUCGGAAUUACUGGGCGUAAAGCGCGCGCAGGUGGUUCAGUAAGUUGGAAGUGAAAUCCCCGGGCUCAACCUGGGAACUGCUUUCAAAACUGCUGAGCUAGAGUACGGUAGAGGGUGGUGGAAUUUCCUGUGUAGCGGUGAAAUGCGUAGAUAUAGGAAGGAACACCAGUGGCGAAGGCGACCACCUGGACUGAUACUGACACUGAGGUGCGAAAGCGUGGGGAGCAAACAGG
rnacentral:rRNA from 1 species